AUGAUAGAUGAGGAGAAGUUUUUAGUGAGAACAUUCAACUCAAUCAAAAUACCAACAAGAAAAAUUAUGGACAUUCUAUCAUUUUUACGACAAGGUCCGCUUCCAUACACAAAACAACAUGUGACCAAUGUGAGGGAAUCGAUGAGAAGAGAGAAUGAUAGCAAUGACAUGAUGCAGUUGCUGGACUACUUUAGGGGCAGGCAAGCGGAAGAUUCGAGAUACUUCUACAAGUUUAAGGUUCAUCCGAAAGACCCAAGCAAAGUCCUCUGCAUUUACUGGGCUGAUGGAUACUCAAGGAAAGUGUACAAUCUGUAUGGAGACAGCCUAAGUUUCGACACAACCUACAAAACCAACAAAUACAACCUACCCUUUGCCCCUUUCGUUGGUGUGUCCGGACAUGGUCAAAACUGCUUGUUUGCAUGUGCUAUCAUUCAAGAUUAA
rnacentral:rRNA from 1 species